rnacentral:lncRNA from 1 species
AGGGAGAGUUGUCCUUCGACUGAACAAAAAUAGAGUUCCACUAACACAAAAUGGCUAGACGAUGGAGAACAAGGUUCACUAAGAGAGAAGAAGGCUCGACGAGGGAGAAUGACGGGGUGAGAGAACGAAUGCGAAUAAGAGAGGGAGAAUCAUGGUUGCAGUGAGGGAGAAUGACGGUGAUUGAUGGUUGCAGUCAGAAAGUAGGGCUCAAGAGAAGGGGGAAACUAGGGCUCGAGAAGAGGGAGAAAGUGGCUCGAGGGAGAAGAGUGCGACAAUGUUUUCAAAAUAUGAUUCUAUAUUACUUAUUUUUUAUUUUUUAAUUAAUUAUUAUCUCAAUAUCCGUAUUUAAAAUCAGCAAAUAAAUAUGUCUUCCACUUACUUACGGUCCUUAUGUACGGAUCAAUCCUUGGCAAACUUCACGCCUAAACGUGCCAAUAUUACAU